rnacentral:tRNA from 1 species
GGAUAAGUGACUGAGAGGUUUAAAGUGCUAGUUUUGAAAACUAGUGUAAUUUAAACAAUUACCGGGGGUUCGAAUCCCUCCUUAUCCA